UCCCCUCCUGAAGUAGCUUCAUAUUUCCAAAGGCCUGGAGAAAUAUAUUUAACUUCUUAUAUAUAGCACACGGAGAUUAAAUGUACUUUAUCACCAGUCUUAGUGGAAUCAGUACUCUGGAUCGUUGAACUGCCAUAUGAAGACUGUGUAUUCUUCUGUUAAGAAUCUAGGUCAACCUAUUAAGAUACGUUUCCAGGAAUCUGAAGAACGACCAAAAUUAUUUGAAGAACUAGGGAAACAGAUCCAACAGUAUAUGAAAAUAAUCAGCUCUUUCAAAAACAAGGAGGACCAGUAUGAUCAUUUGGAUGCUGCUGACAUGACAAAGGUAGAAAAAAGCACAAAUGAAGCAAUGGAGUGGAUGAAUAACAAGCUAAAUCUGCAGAACAAGCAGAGUUUGACCAUGGAUCCAGUUGUCAAGUCAAAAGAGAUUGAAGCUAAAAUUAAGGAGCUGACAAGUAUUUGUAGCCCUAUAAUUUCAAAGCCCAAACCCAAAGUGGAACCUCCAAAAGAGGAACAAAAAAAUGCAGAGCAGAAUGGACCAGUGGAUGGACAAGGAGACAACCCAGGCCCCCAGGCUGCUGAGCAGGGUACAGACGCAGCUGUGCCUUCGGAUUCAGACAAGAAGCUUCCUGAAAUGGACAUUGAUUGAUUCCAACACUUGUUUCUAUUAAAACAGACUAUUAUAAAGCU
rnacentral:sRNA from 1 species